CACAAAGGAAAUUCAAAGAGGGUUUUCCCUUUUAUGAGAAAAAUCGAAAAGCGCAAAUAGCAUUCAGCGAUUGCAGCGAGCUAAGCCAUUGCAGAGGCAGCAUGCACCCUGGGUGGCGAGUGGCACCACCUGCCCAAACUAUACUCUGCAUCUCUGCAUCAAGCCGCCAGAACUUUGAACUGUGCCUGUGAGCAUCUCUGCUUCAUCUCCGUUUACUUCGUGCAUCCAUUAGCAAGAGGUGUCCUAAGCAUUUUUUUUUUUUCCAAAGCAUGUUCUCUAAGACAUUGGCCCUGAGAGAUGCUCUGAAAAAAAAAAAAAGAAGAAGUUUGGAGAGAUGCAGCAUACUCUGCCCUGCUUUUGCAGGGUCCCAGGGCCCACUGGGAUGAAGGCACUGAGAAGGCCUGCAGCAUUUCCCAAAGUAUGCUUUAUCCUCAGAGCACUUGUUCCAAAUGGGAGAACAGACUCCAAGACUGGAGGGGAGAUCAGGCUCAGGCAGGAGGCACCUCCUCCAAUAGCCCAUUCACUCACCAGCAGGAGAGCCCUUCCCUGUGCACUUAUGCAUGGAGCCCUUCCCACACCGCUAUGUGCUGGGGGCUUCCCUCGGUGACUACACCUCCUACCUGUCCAGGAGUCCCUGAUACACUCAGCAUCCCCAGAAUGGACCACUCCUGCAAGUUCCCAGGCCGAGAACAAGACCAGCUACAGAGAGGCGGGAACAGACUCUGAGGAAGGAGGCUGUACUUAUGCAGAGCCGCUUCAGACCACAGGAGGUCCGAUCACUGAAGCAGCACAGGAGCAGCCUGCGCAAGGCCAGGUAGGCUGACUACAGGGGGAGUCGAGUCAAGGAGGAAGGCUGGCUCCUUCCUCUCUUUCAAUUCUGGGACGCAGGAAUGCCCUUGGGGAAACAUGAGUGGCCUUGGCUGGGCCCUCCAGAAGCAAACCCCUGUGACAGCACCCACCCACUUUACUGAGAUGGGCUUACCUGUCUGGUUCUCCAGACAGAUGGGACCCCACGCCAGAUGUUCCAUCUGUGGAUCUGUCCCCAGUGCCCAUGUACAUCUAUUCCACGACAGGAACUAGAUGCAGAUUUAUUGAGUAUGUGUUAGAUUUGGGUCAGUCAGUAGCUGCUACAGGUUGGGUUCCCCAGGAAGCAGGCUCUGAGCUAGAAAUUAGAGAUUAGUGUUCUGAUCAUCCAGACCUACAGGAUAAUGGCAGAAAGCAGACAUGGCCAAAGGAGAAAUCAGGGUUCAAUGAAGUCAUGGCCUCAGCUGGCCCCAUGGGAAAGCGCUGAAGCUGAUGGCCCCCAAAGGGGUCCUGCAUUUAGGCAAAGUGGCUGGGCUUCUCCACCUCCACACAGUCAGUUAGUGGAGGUGGGAUUCCCUGGGGAGAAGGCAUGACCUUGACAAUGCAGGGCUCUCGCUCUCUCUCUCUCGCCCUCACUCCCUCGCUCGCUCGCUUUUUUAUUUAUUUAUUUUUUCUUUUUAGGGCCAUACCCGCAGCAUAUGGAAGUUCCCAGACUAGAGGUCGAAUUGCAGCUGCAGGUGCUGGCCUACACCACAGCCAUAGCCAUGUGGGAUCUGAGCCACAUCUGCGACCUACACCACAGCUCACAGCAACACCAGAUCCUUAACCCACUGAUCGAGGCCAGGGAUCCAACCUGAGUCCUCAUGGAUACUAGUUGGGCUCAUUACCGCUGAGCCAUGAUAGGAAUGCUGCAGCUCUCUUUAGACUCCUAAAGAGGGCUGACCAUGGAGCCCUUAUCAGCUGACAGUCUUCCCAGCAUCUGGAGGAGAAAGUCUUGUGGUCCUGCAGGGGAGUCCUGGGUGCCCAGGACAGAUCACAGCAGUCCAUACUGCCGACCCCACCCCCAGCUUUGCCACCCACUGAUCUGGGCCUUUCUUCUCCUCUUGGUCCCUCUGUCCAGGCCAGCUCUCACCUUCCCUCUUUCAGUUUUCCUUAGUGCAGGCCAGGGGCUCCUCCAAGGGGCAACCCUUGCCUGGGGGCUGGAGCAGGACAUGGUCCCAGUCUGUGUUCAACCUGGUACUCUAGGAACCUGGAGCAAAGAGAGCCUCGGACUGCUCCUGUGGGAUACCCCACCUGGGCUCCCCUUGACCAUAUGCAGAAGGAGCAUUUGAGAUGCCCCCCAUCAGGUCCUGAUCUCUGGACUACGGACUCUGACUCUCAAUACAUGUUGUGCCUGCACCCUUAUGCCUGGAGGAGUACCACCUCUUCCCUGCCUCCCCUGCUACCUGUCCUGGACAUAGCCCAGCAGCCCUGCCGUGAACCAGGAGGGCAAGCACCCAACCCCACUGCAGCUGUCACUGAAGAGCAUCUUUGAGGAGGGGAGAAAUUGGGCUUUAUGGGACCGUGGCUCAAGUUUUGGGACAGGAACAGUUGUGUGCAUUUAUGUAGGCUCCCCCAGCAUCCAUUUCUUCUGUAAAUGAGAGGCACAGAGGAGACACUUGAUAACUGUUUGUGGAGCACAUUGGGAGGGUAUGGCGUGGACAAUGCUGCUGGGCAACACCAAGCCAGCAAGUGUCAGACCAGGGCUGGGAUCGGAGCGAGCAGACAGCACGGUGGUUAAGAACGAGGGCACAGCCUGCCAGGUCCUCAUCCAACACACACCAGCCAGGUGACUUCCACAACUUGCCACACCUUCUGCUGUUCAUGUCCUCUUUGUGAAGCUGGGAUGAUGGGGCUCCGCUCAGGGUGCUCCCCCCCGGGGGUGGAGUUAGAGCAUAUACUCAGCAUGUGGGUGAUCACUAUUCUGCUCAGUCCUGCUGGGCCCCAUGUCCACAGAUCAUUUCAGCGCCCCACAUGGCCGGCCCCUCCGCUCUGGAAGGAAUAUUCUCAAAUCCUAUUGUGAAUACACUUGCAGUGCUUUCUUUGGCUUGGAGUCUGAGC
rnacentral:lncRNA from 1 species